UCUUUCCUCUCAGAGCGGCAUUUCAUCAGCUGAAGGAUCCCACGAGGAACAGCAUUUAUUACCGUUUGAUAUUCUUUAUAAGUGAUGGGAAAAGUUUUAGAUCUGAGAAAUAACUGAAAAAAUUCAGAAAUAACUGAAAAUUUUAGCUUCAUCAUUUUGUAAGUCUGCAAGAUAAAUUAUAUAUAAUGUUGUAAAUAUAGUGAUUUAUUCUUUCUGGUUAUGUAUUCAUUGUUCCAUAUAAUAGUCUUGUUGGGGCAGAAAUUAUGGACAAAGCAUAAUGUUGCUGAUUGUUGAAAUUUUGUGGUAAUUUUGUUUCAUCAUAAUUACAUAGUAAUAUAAAUUGUAGGCCUCCCAUUUUUACAAAAAUAUUCUGCGGUAUAAAGUACCAAAAGGAUUCUGGAGCUUUCAAAUAUUCUUUAAUCCAUUUUAAUUUCACUGUGUAGUUCACAUCCAUAAAAUCCAGUAUCCAUAAAAUCCAGUAUCUCCAUGCCACCUUCACCCCUUAAAUUGUUAUUUGAGUUAUUCUAAUCUCUCUCUCAAAAAUCCUUAAACCUUGAAAAUGAUGGCAAUGCAAAAUAGGUAUUGAAAGCAAUUCAACAGCUAUAAGAAAAAGAAAUGGAGAACUGGGGCAACCUUGGAGAUGAAUGUUUUACCAAAGCCAAAAGCCUGAAGUGAAGUGAGUAAUCUAUUAGAUCAAGAAUCAGCCUUAUAUUACAACUUAUAUGUCAACGAUGAACCAUGGACUGUAAAAAAAUAUGGAAGUAGCCACCGUGACAUCACCCGCUGGUUUCUGAAGAGCAGGUAUGAACAUGGACACCUCCAGCAGUUGCCAUCUUGGCAGCGUAUGACUCCGCCUAACUCCCCGGCUAAUCCAAAAUGGGCAAAGAGGUGGAGCUGAGGUGGGCUGAAUAAAGCCUGGUUUUUUAAACCAGGCUUAAUUAAGAGCUAUUAUAAGAGCUCUUAUAAUACAUCCAUGCCUGAAACACGCCCACUUAGCUCGACGCUGCCAAGCUAGCUAAGGCUAACAAGCUAGGCUAUGUGGCUAACCUUGUGGUCUCCUUUCUCCCGGUUGGUGCCGUCACUGUCGCAGCUUACGUUACUUGAGGUCAUGGCCACCUGUGAUGCCUCCACCUGCUACACACAGCAUCAACUUGUGGAUCAUUGGUGACAGCUGUGUCCGGCGUGGUGCCCAGAGAGAUGCAGAGACUAUGGGAAGAAACCUCAAUGUGCCAGAUGUCCCUCACAUUUGACAUGACCAUCCUGGACUAUAAUGAAAGAUGGAGUUCAUUUCACACCUAGAGGAAAUUAUAUGUUUUUAAGUAUUAAUUAGCUAAUUGCCUUAAAAACCACCUCCAAACACAGUGAACUGCUUACAGUUGGUAGUGUCACUGCUUUUGAAUUUUUCCUGUAGGAUCCAUUUUGUUUGGCCUAAAUAUGGCCCUGACUGUCACUGCUAAUGCUGAGCUUUUAUUUUAUUUUAUUUUAAGUGUAAAUAUUGUCCACCUUUUUGCAUUUUAUUCCCCUUUAUUUGAAACAUUUAAGGGUUAGUCUAUGAUAUCUUCUAGUUCACAUUUCAAUCAAUUCUAUUUUGUCUUCAAUACUGACUGAAAAUGUUAGAUUUCUCAUUCAAAUCUGACUAUAAAUUGAAAGGCAAGGCAAGGCAAGUUUAUUUGUAUUGUACAUUUCAACAACAAGGCAAUUCAAAGUGCUUUACAUAGAGCA